CAAUAAAACCAAGUCGUCAACAACAGGUUAAAAGGGUUGUGUUUCACAUGGUACCGCAGUGACCUCGUCAAACAAGGCAGCGCUUUGUGUAGUCUUCGUCAAUGAUUGAUACUACCUUCAUUUUAAAGAGAAAUCAGCUCGCCCCUGAUUCCUCACAACCACAUCUCACCAGUAAACCCUCAAUAUGCAUUCAGCCGCCCAGUUCAGAUGCUAUUCAUCAGAAGCUAUGAAUAUUUCUGCUGGUGCUACCAGCUGUUCCGGUCUUGACAUUAUUAUGGGAAGGGGAAGGAAAGAGGAGUACAAAAUAUUGAAGAUGUUUGCUGUAGAAAACGCCGAAGGUCCAGGUUUGAAAACGGAUCAUUAACAAGGGAAGAAAGAAUUCCAUGAUUAAUAGUUGCAUCAAGCAGCUUUAUGGGAGCCAAGUCAAGUUAAUAAUAUAUCAGAGAUGUCUUGACGCUGCAUUGAUGAGAGUAUUAACUUUGCAAAUCAUUAUUUAGGAUGACAUGAUACAUGCAGCACAGUAAAUUAAGACAACGUUUGGUUUGGACGAGAGGAUGAUUUUCGAAAAAGAAAACAGGAUGCUCGGACAGACAAAACAUCCAUGCUUUUCUGUCAGAAUAUAUGCAAAUCUGAACGACACCCUGUAAGUUGAUUUAAUUUGCUGCAGAAUUAGAGAAACGGCAAAUUGGAAUACCAUGCUCAUGCUCAUGCUGCUGCUGCUGCUUUUAAGAAAAGUAUUGGAGCUUUGAUCACCUUGUUUAACAAUUAGGCUUCACCUCGCACGUUGUCGAUCACGUCCUCAUGGGCCUCGCAAUACGACGUUCAUCAUGUCUACACACAUUAUUGAAUAUUACUCGGUGCCAACUACGCCCGCACCGGCAGCAGUAAGAAAGCGACUCCCAGUACUCCAAUAAUUAAAAGCUACCCACAAGCCUCUCUUUCUAUGAUGAAAAAAGACAGAAGGUAAUGGAUCAGCGCAAUUUGUAUUGGACAGGAGGGGCUGAACUGUUAGAUAUGACGCCUCAGCUUGAUAGAAGUAAGUUGAUUCCCAAGCAUUGAUUUUACCGACUAGGAGAAAACCAAAGUAGUACAGCAUAUGAACUGUAAUUAGUUCUCCCUACGUCCUGUUCUUUAUUUUCCAGGAACUAGUUAGAGUCAACCUGUAUUCGCGUCAGACUACAUAAUCAUAUCUGAAUAUCUGUUUAUGUGACAGAGAAGUAUGUUCUGUUUCUUGUUCUCUAUAAGAUUACUGAUGCUCUUACUCGAUCUUUGUUACAAUGAUGCUUUUAUCUUUAUGGGAAACCUUUCGAUUUUGAACCUUCUCAUGCUUAGCUUUUUAUGUUCUUUUCCCUAUGUUUUCUUUAUCUGCUCUUGCUUUGAGGUGCCCUUGUAUGUUCAUUCUCUCUCGCCAUGGGUUUCUCCAUUGUUCCUAAUGUAUUCCUUUGUUAGGUUAUAAAAAAAAUAAAAUAAAAGGCGGUCUUUUUGAAGGGUUUUAUUCUUCUAAACUUUAAUCGCAGCUGGAAUAAACAAAUCUACACUCGAUGAAACCGCCGACGGCUAUGGAAUGAACCCAUUUCCAAUCGGCCAGUGCCUAUCACCUCUACCUGGAGAGUCUCCUACUGCCCAUACUAAGCUGAAAAGAAAAGCUCCUAAAACUCCCAAGGAUCGUGAAAAGAAAAGAGCGAUCGACAGGGCAUAUCGGCGACGAUGCAGGGAAAAUAAAAAGAAAAAUGACCAAGAAUUGUUUGAGCUCACUGAAGAAAAUGAGAAAUUAAAUAGAGAGAAUGCCUCCUUCAAAAGGGAAGAAGUUCAGCUGCAAGAGAUGGUGUAAUCUCAGAAAGACGAAAUGACACUGCUACAGAAUAAACUUCGCCAACAGAAGGCCCAGCUUCAGAGGCAAAAUGUAGUCGUGGAUGUGCUUUCGAAGCAAGUAGCUAGUGUCGAAGAUAAUAUGGAUCCUCAGCUCGAAAAUAAACGGCUGAAAUUAGAAAUGGAUUUGCUGAUUAAGAAGAUUAACAACGAUGACAAUUUAAACCUCAUUCAACUUCAAGAAAAAAACAUAAAACUAGAACAAGAGAAGAACGAUCUCCAAUUGAUUAUUGAUGCCUUAUGUGCAAACAUAAACAAGGAUAAUGACCUCGAACCAAAGCAAGCAUCCUAAUUUAGGUGCUGAGCUACAAAGUAAAUGGAUAGAGAAGGUGUGCUGACAGGAGAAUUAAGAGCCUACAGGAAUUUAUAUACCCAAGGAUGUGACCUAAUGUAUUCUUAGAAUUGCAUGACCUCUUUAUAUAGCCAAGGAUGUGACCUAAUCAUCACGCAUGAAGGGUGUUCUUAGAUUUUAGCACCAGUGUAUUUUUGGUUCUUGACCUAAUCAUCAUGUAUGAAGGGUGUUCUUAUUAGCAGCAGUGUGUUUUUGGUUCUCUUACCAGGGUAUCAAGAAGUCAUCUUAUAAGCCCACUACUAUCGUUCAUGUGCACCGGUCUCCCCCAUUUGAUGGGUGGAUAAAAUUGACAGUGGUGGCACCAGCAAGAAUGAUC